UACGUAGGGUGCAAGCGUUGUCCGGAAUUAUUGGGCGUAAAGAGCUCGUAGGCGGUUUGUCGCGUCGGCUGUGAAAUCCUCCGGCUCAACUGGAGGCCUGCAGUCGAUACGGGCAGACUAGAGUGCUGUAGGGGAGACUGGAAUUCCUGGUGUAGCGGUGAAUGACGCAGAUAUCAGGAGGAACACCGGUGGCGAAGGCGGGUCUCUGGGCAGUAACUGACGCUGAGGAGCGAAAGCGUGGGGAGCGAACAGGAUUAGAUACCGGGU
rnacentral:rRNA from 1 species